rnacentral:rRNA from 1 species
GUUAUAUGGUCAAGUGAAGAAGCGCAUACGGUGGAUGCCUUGGCAGUCAGAGGCGAUGAAAGACGUGGUAGCCUGCGAUAAGCUUCGGGGAGUCGGCAAACAGACUUUGAUCCGGAGAUCUCUGAAUGGGGGAACCCACUCAGCACAAGCUGAGUAUCUUGUACUGAAUACAUAGGUGCAAGAGGCGAACCAGGGGAACUGAAACAUCUAAGUACCCUGAGGAAAAGAAAUCAACCGAGAUUCCCUUAGUAGUGGCGAGCGAACGGGGACUAGCCCUUAAGUGGCUUUGAGAUUAGCGGAACGCUCUGGAAAGUGCGGCCAUAGUGGGUGAUAGCCCUGUACGCGAAAAUCUCUUAGUCAUGAAAUCGAGUAGGACGGAGCACGAGAAACUUUGUCUGAAUAUGGGGGGACCAUCCUCCAAGGCUAAAUACUACUGACUGACCGAUAGUGAACCAGUACCGUGAGGGAAAGGCGAAAAGAACCCCGGAGAGGGGAGUGAAAUAGAUCCUGAAACCGUAUGCGUACAAGCAGUGGGAGCCUACUUUGUUAGGUGACUGCGUACCUUUUGUAUAAUGGGUCAGCGACUUAUAUUCAGUGGCGAGCUUAACCGAAUAGGGGAGGCGUAGCGAAAGCGAGUCUUAAUAGGGCGUUUAGUCGCUGGGUAUAGACCCGAAACCGGGCGAUCUAUCCAUGGGCAGGUUGAAGGUUAGGUAACACUGACUGGAGGACCGAACCGACUACCGUUGAAAAGUUAGCGGAUGACCUGUGGAUCGGAGUGAAAGGCUAAUCAAGCUCGGAGAUAGCUGGUUCUCCUCGAAAGCUAUUUAGGUAGCGCCUCAUGUAUCACUGUAGGGGGUAGAGCACUGUUUCGGCUAGGGGGUCAUCCCGACUUACCAAACCGAUGCAAACUCCGAAUACCUACAAGUGCCGAGCAUGGGAGACACACGGCGGGUGCUAACGUCCGUCGUGAAAAGGGAAACAACCCAGACCGUCAGCUAAGGUCCCAAAGUCAUGGUUAAGUGGGAAACGAUGUGGGAAGGCUUAGACAGCUAGGAGGUUGGCUUAGAAGCAGCCACCCUUUAAAGAAAGCGUAAUAGCUCACUAGUCGAGUCGGCCUGCGCGGAAGAUGUAACGGGGCUCAAACCAUGCACCGAAGCUACGGGUAUCACUUAGGUGAUGCGGUAGAGGAGCGUUCUGUAAGCCUGUGAAGGUGAGUUGAGAAGCUUGCUGGAGGUAUCAGAAGUGCGAAUGCUGACAUGAGUAACGACAAUGGGAGUGAAAAACUCCCACGCCGAAAGACCAAGGUUUCCUGCGCAACGUUAAUCGACGCAGGGUUAGUCGGUCCCUAAGGCGAGGCUGAAAAGCGUAGUCGAUGGAAAACAGGUUAAUAUUCCUGUACUUCUAGUUAUUGCGAUGGAGGGACGGAGAAGGCUAGGCCAGCUUGGCGUUGGUUGUCCAAGUUUAAGGUGGUAGGCUGAGAUCUUAGGUAAAUCCGGGAUCUUAAGGCCGAGAGCUGAUGACGAGUUGCCUUUAGGCGACGAAGUGGUUGAUGCCAUGCUUCCAAGAAAAGCUUCUAAGCUUCAGAUAACUAGGAACCGUACCCCAAACCGACACAGGUGGUUGGGUAGAGAAUACCAAGGCGCUUGAGAGAACUCGGGUGAAGGAACUAGGCAAAAUGGCACCGUAACUUCGGGAGAAGGUGCGCCGGUGAGGGUGAAGGACUUGCUCCGUAAGCUCAUGCCGGUCGAAGAUACCAGGCCGCUGCGACUGUUUAUUAAAAACACAGCACUCUGCAAACACGAAAGUGGACGUAUAGGGUGUGACGCCUGCCCGGUGCCGGAAGGUUAAUUGAUGGGGUUAGCUAACGCGAAGCUCUUGAUCGAAGCCCCGGUAAACGGCGGCCGUAACUAUAACGGUCCUAAGGUAGCGAAAUUCCUUGUCGGGUAAGUUCCGACCUGCACGAAUGGCGUAACGAUGGCGGCGCUGUCUCCACCCGAGACUCAGUGAAAUUGAAAUCGCUGUGAAGAUGCAGUGUAUCCGCGGCUAGACGGAAAGACCCCGUGAACCUUUACUAUAGCUUUGCACUGGACUUUGAAUUUGCUUGUGUAGGAUAGGUGGGAGGCUUUGAAGCGUGGACGCCAGUUCGCGUGGAGCCAUCCUUGAAAUACCACCCUGGCAACUUUGAGGUUCUAACUCAGGUCCGUUAUCCGGAUCGAGGACAGUGUAUGGUGGGUAGUUUGACUGGGGCGGUCUCCUCCUAAAGAGUAACGGAGGAGUACGAAGGUGCGCUCAGACCGGUCGGAAAUCGGUCGUAGAGUAUAAAGGCAAAAGCGCGCUUGACUGCGAGACAGACACGUCGAGCAGGUACGAAAGUAGGUCUUAGUGAUCCGGUGGUUCUGUAUGGAAGGGCCAUCGCUCAACGGAUAAAAGGUACUCCGGGGAUAACAGGCUGAUACCGCCCAAGAGUUCAUAUCGACGGCGGUGUUUGGCACCUCGAUGUCGGCUCAUCACAUCCUGGGGCUGAAGCCGGUCCCAAGGGUAUGGCUGUUCGCCAUUUAAAGUGGUACGCGAGCUGGGUUUAGAACGUCGUGAGACAGUUCGGUCCCUAUCUGCCGUGGACGUUUGAGAUUUGAGAGGGGCUGCUCCUAGUACGAGAGGACCGGAGUGGACGAACCUCUGGUGUUCCGGUUGUCACGCCAGUGGCAUUGCCGGGUAGCUAUGUUCGGAAGAGAUAACCGCUGAAAGCAUCUAAGCGGGAAACUUGCCUCAAGAUGAGAUCUCACUGGAGCCUUGAGCUCCCUGAAGGGCCGUCGAAGACUACGACGUUGAUAGGUUGGGUGUGUAAGCGCUGUGAGGCGUUGAGCUAACCAAUACUAAUUGCCCGUGAGGCUUGACCAUAUAACACCCAAGCAAUU